CUUUUUAACUUCUUGGGUAAGAAUCUUGAUUGGUUCUUCCUCAUACGUCAAGUCUAGUUGAACCUCAAUAGCUUUUGGUGUAAUAACAUGCGACGGAUCCAAUCUAUACCUUUUCAACAUAGAAACAUGAAAAACAUAGUGGAUUAUUGCAAACUUUGGUGGUAAUGCUAACCGAUAAGCUACUGGUACAAGACACUUCAAUAUCUCAUAUGAUCCAAUAAACCUUGGACUUAACUUUCC
rnacentral:lncRNA from 1 species